GCCUGGUUAGUUCUUGGAUGGGUGACCGCCUGGGAAUACCAGGU
rnacentral:rRNA from 10 species